AACGAACGCUGGCGGCAGGCCUAACACAUGCAAGUCGAACGCCGUAGCAAUACGGAGUGGCAGACGGGUGAGUAACGCGUGGGAACAUACCCCUCGGUUCGGAAUAACUCAGGGAAACUUGAGCUAAUACCGGAUACGUCCGAGGUUUUAAUCGGCCUUGGAGAAAGAUUUAUCGCCGGAGGAUUGGCCCGCGUCUGAUUAGCUUGUCGGUGAGGUAAUGGCUCACCAAGGCGACGANCAGUAGCUGGUCUGAGAGGAUGAUCAGCCACAUUGGGACUGAGACACGGCCCAAACUCCUACGGGAGGCAGCAGUGGGGAAUAUUGGACAAUGGGCGAAAGCCUGAUCCAGCCAUGCCGCGUGAGUGAUGAAGGCCUUAGGGUUGUAAAGCUCUUUACCCGGGAAGAUAAUGACGAUACCGGGAGAAUAAGCCCCGGCUAACUUCGUGCCAGCAGCCGCUGUAA
rnacentral:rRNA from 1 species